AGAGAAAAAAAAUCGAGGGAAAAGCGAUAGUUAGAGGCGACGGCGAUUCCGAGUUCUGAACUUGCUACGUUUAUCCGGUGACGAAGACGCAACCGGCAAGGGAAGGAGACCGCCAAAGAGGUUAACGAUCGGGUUCCGGUGAGGAUUUUUCCGACUGACCGUUUUUCUAGUCGAAGGCUCAAUAAUUAUUCUAAGGUGGAUUACCUACUGUUCGUAAGAGAUGUGUUGGAGGGCUCACCAGAUAUGGAUAGGUGGGUUCUUGUUUUGGGAAGCUCUUCAAACUGGCCGCUCGGAGGUGUACGUGUUCUUGAUGUUGUUUGUUUAAGGCUUUUGUGCUUUUAAAAAAAAAUGCUAGGAUGUUACGUGUACACAAACAAGCGUGUACAUGUAUACAACACGUAGUGCGUACAUGUGUACAAGCGAGUAUAUGUACAACUUGGAACGUAUACAUAUGUCGUGUGUUUUUGACAUGUUGGAUGAAUGUCUCUGGCAUGAUACUAUGAUAUUUUCA